rnacentral:rRNA from 1 species
GAUGAACGCUGACAGAAUGCUUAACACAUGCAAGUCAACUUGAACUUCGGUUUGGGUGGCGGACGGGUGAGUAACGCGUAAAGAACUUGCCUCACAGAUAGGGACAACAUUUGGAAACGAAUGCUAAUACCUGAUAUUAUGAUUAUAUGGCAUCGUAUAAUUAUGAAAGCUAUAUGCGCUGUGAGAGAGCUUUGCGUCCCAUUAGCUAGUUGGAGGGGUAACGGCUCACCAAGGCGAUGAUGGGUAGCCGGCCUGAGAGGGUGAUCGGCCACAAGGGGACUGAGACACGGCCCUUACUCCUACGGGAGGCAGCAGUGGGGAAUAUUGGACAAUGGACCAAGAGUCUGAUCCAGCAAUUCUGUGUGCACGAUGAAGUUUUUCGGAAUGUAAAGUGCCUUCAGUUGGGAAGAAAAAAAUGACGGUACCAACAGAAGAAGUGACGGCUAAAUACGUG